AAGAGCUUUUUGUGGAUAUCUUGGAACUUUGAGGCGAUGAAGGGCAUAGUAACCAAUGAAAUGUUCCGGGGAGUUGGAAACAAGUUUUGAUCCGGAAAUUCCCUAAUAAAGCAAUUUAUAAACUUCUUUAAGAAUUUAUAUUAAAGAAAGAGCAAACUCAGUGAAUUGAAACAUCUUAUUAGCUGAAGGAAAAAAAAGCAAUAGCGAUUCCCUUAGUAGCGGCGAGCGAAGUGGGAGGUGCCUAAACCCUUUUGGGGUGUCGUGGGAUGAUUUAAUAUUACGAAGUUAAGAGAAUUACUUGAAUUGUGAACCAUAGAAGGUGAUAGUCCUGUAUCUGAAGUGACAGUAAAGAUAAUUCUUUAAUCCCGAGUAGCAUAGAGCACGUGGAAUUCUGUGUGAAUCAGCGAGGACCACCUCGUAAGGCUAAAUACUCUAAAGUUACCGAUAGUGAAUAAGUACCGUGAGGGAAUGAUGAAAAGAACCCCUAUAGGGGAGUGAAAUAGAAUUUGAAACAAAUAGCUUACAAGCAGCGGGAGAGAAAUUGACCGUGUGCCUGUUGAAGAAUGUGCCGGCGACUUAUAGGUAAUGGCUUUAUUGAUUAAAUUUUUAAUUUUAUAAUCGAAGCGAAAGCGAGUUUUAAUAAAGCGUCAGUCAUUAUUUAUAGACCCGAACCCGGGUGAUCUAAUCAUGGACAGGUUGAAGCGUAUUUAAUACUACGUGGAGGACCGGACCCACCGAUGUUGAAAAAUCGGGGGAUGAGCUGUGAUUAGCGGAGAAAUUCCAAUCGAACUCGGAGCUAGCUGGAUCUCUCCGAAAUGUGUUGAGGCGCAGCGAUUAAUUAUGAUAUUUUAGGGGUAAAGCACUGUUUCGAUGCGGGCCUUGAAAGAGGUACUAAGUUGUAGCAAACUCUGAAUACUAAAAUUUUUCAAUUAGUCAGUGAGACUGUGGGGGAUAAGCUUCAUAGUCAAGAGGGAAACAGCCCAGAUCAUCAGAUAAGGCCCCAAAGUAGUUGCUAAGUGAUAAAGGAAGUAAAAGUGCAUAGACAACCAGUAGGUUUGCCUAGAAGCAGCCAUCCUUUAAAGAAUGCGUAAUAGCUCACUGGUCAAGCGCUUUUGCGCCGAAAAUGAACGGGACUAAGCAAUUUGCCAAAGCUAUGAGAUAUUUAUAUCGGUAGGAGAGCGUCUUGUUUUAGAUUGAAGUAAUUUUGUAAAAUUUUAUGGACGAAACAAGAGUGAGAAUGUCGGCUUGAGUAACGAAAACAUUGGUGAGAAUCCAAUGCCCCGAAAACCUAAGGAUUCCUUUGCAAGGUUCGUCCUCAAAGGGUGAGUCAGGACCUAAGGUGAGGCUUAAAAGCGUAUCCGAUGGAUAAUAGGUUAAUAUUCCUAUACUACAUUGUAUUUAGCUAGAAAUGACGAAAAAGACUAGGUUGGCCAAAUGUUGGUUAUUGGUUCAAGCAUCUAAGGUGUAGAUAGAUAUUAUAAAAAAUAUUUUGAGCUAAAAUGCGAGUUACGAGUGAGUUUUAUAUUUUAUAAAGCUUUGCAAGCAACGGAUGUCAUGUUUCCUAGAAAAGUUUCUGCAGCAUAUUAUAUUUUGUACCUGUACUAUAAACCGACACAGGUGGGUAAGUAGAGAAUACUAAGGGGCGCGAGACAACUCUUUUUAAGGAACUCGGCAAAAUAGCCCUGUAACUUCGGGAGAAAGGGUGCCCUUUAAAUAGGGUUACAAUAAUCAGACCCAGGCGACUGUUUACCAAAAACACAGGUCUCCGCAAAAUUGAAAAAUGAUGUAUGGGGGCUGACGCCUGCCCAGUGCCGGAAGGUUAAAGAAAUUGGUUAGCUUUUAUUAGCGAAGCUAGUGACUGAAGCCCCGGUGAACGGCGGCCGUAACUAUAACGGUCCUAAGGUAGCGAAAUUCCUUGUCGGGUAAGUUCCGACCUGCACGAAAGGCGUAACGAUCUGGGUACUGUCUCAAAAAGAGACUCGGUGAAAUAGAAUUGACUGUGAAGAUGCGGUCUACCUACACUUGGACAGAAAGACCCUAUGAAGCUUUACUGUAGUUUGAAAUUGAUUUUGGAUUUUUAUUGUGCAGCAUAAGUGGGAGGCGUUGAAGAUAUUUUUUCGGAAAUUUGGAGCCGUUAGUGAGAUACCACUCUAUAAAAGUUAGAAAUCUAAAAAUGUUUCUUGAAUCAGGACAUUUGACAUUUUCAGAUAGGCAGUUUUACUGGGGCGGUAGCCUCCCAAAAGGUAACGGAGGCGUGCAAAGGUUCUCUCAGGUUAGUCGGAAAUUUAUUGAAGAGUAUAAAGGCAUAAGAGAGCUUGACUGUAAGACCUACAAGUCGAACAGAGACGAAAGUCGGCCUUAGUGAUCCGACGGUUCUGAGUGGAAAGGCCGUCGCUCAACGGAUAAAAGUUACUCUAGGGAUAACAGGCUGAUCUCCCCCAAGAGUUCACAUCGACGGGGAGGUUUGGCACCUCGAUGUCGGCUCAUCGCAGCCUAGGGCAGAAGUAUGUCCUAAGGGUUGGGCUGUUCGCCCAUUAAAGCGGUACGUGAGCUGGGUUCAGAACGUCGUGAGACAGUUCGGUCCAUAUCCGGUGUAGGCGUUUGAGUAUUGAGGAGAUCUUUUCUUAGUACGAGAGGACCGGAAAGGACACACCACUGGUGUACCAGUUCUUAUGCCAAUAGGAAAUGCUGGGUAGCUACGUGUGGAGCGGAUAACUGCUGAAAGCAUAUAAGUAGGAAGCCCACUUCGAGAUGAUUACUC
rnacentral:rRNA from 1 species